AUUGGACAGACUUCCAUCUACCGAAAGAGCCAAACCACGACAGCUCUCCUCAAUCACUGUAAACACACAUGAUAAGUGGCAAAUUAAUGGAAAUUGAUGGAAAUUAAUGGAAAUCAGCUAAAGGGCCAUCGCCACACUGACCUUGAAGAGGGGAGGCAGCGAGGGAAAAAACAGUCCUAACGCCAUAGAUGGCCUCAUCACAUUGAAGGUGUCUGUGAGCGCGGAAAAAAGAUUCAGUCCGUCAUGAGCAUCCCAACAGGUUUGCAGGGACUGAGGGUCAACGUUGACAGAGGAGAGAAGAUUGGAAACAAAACCCAGAUCCCGUUCCCCCAAUCAGGAGACGACAAUGCCAACCAAUUCUCUUCCAUCUGUGAUCAAGAGGGAAGAGGACUGAUAGAGGACACAAGCUACAGCACAAGCUCCGUCCCUCCUUUGGUCUCCCAGAGCGAAUCCCCCAACAAGUUAGUGAUCUGGGGCUCUGAGCAGCAAUGUUUGGAGCCUGAGCUCAGAGGGUUUGACCUCUUGGAGUGUCAGGAGAUACAUGCAUUCUUGAGGGACAGGGAUCAGGAGGAGGACGAUGACGAUGGCGGAAGUAUGAGGGAUGGUAAAGAUGAAGGUCCCAUGUCCAUAUCCUCGAGCUCCACCGCCAGCUCUGCUUCGAUCGGUGUCAGGGGCAAUGACAAUGACAACAACAAAGUGGAGAGCAGAAUACAGUGGGACCGAGGGGCGCAGAGAAGGAUGGCAUGUCACAGCAACGAAGAGCUGGACACAUGCGUCACAGGCUCACAAGAGAAAAGGGACACCAGGUCAGGCAGGGACAGGGAGAGACGGAAGGGAGGUCUGAAGGAGUCUAAGUCUGAUACAAAUGUCUUUGUCUCCAGUCUGUCGGCUGUUUCCUUCCGCGGGAGCCUGUCGAGUGCUCUGGAUAGUAGCGGAGAAGCGCGUGCGCUCGUCUCGCUGUCCGGCUCUAAGACCAACCUUUACUCCAAUACAAACAACGCUACCUCAGCUCAUACUAGAAACAUGGCUGCCCCUUCGGAUGCCAACUGCAACUCUCCGCCAUCGCAUCCUCAGGAGAAACAAGGCCGCCCUCAAUACCACUACGGCCAGGAUCAGAGACAGGAGGAGGGAAGCCAUCAUAGAAAUGGAUUGACCUCUGAUGGGCUGCUGGGCCAAAGGAGGAAGGCAGGAUUUGAGGAAAGGGUGAUGCCACCGCGACGGCAACAGCUCGUCAGACCCCUCUGUCAGACGGAAGCGGGAAGAGCAAGGAGCUUAGCAGAGACCCAUGCUCACCAAGCUGAGACAAGGCAACCGUCUCCCCCCAAACCCUCUCCAGAUUCACAAAGAGGCGGGUCUAACAGACAGUUUACGAAAUCGUCUUUACGGGAACCAUCAGAUUUCUCUAACCUGUACAGCACACCCGGAGGCCCGCAGCUCAGGCAGCCCAACCAGGCAGCCCAGAGGGAGGCUCAACCUGCGGAAAAACACCCAGCCGCAACUGCAUGGCGUAAUUCAAGUCCUUCAAAUUCUUCCUCUUUCGAGAAGAGACCCCAGACUCAGCUCACAUAUAGAAGAAAUUGCUCUAGUCCCAACAGGACAGGGGUUGAUUCCAGGUCAUCUACCCCUCCCCACUCCCCUCUCAGGACUCCCCAGGGUUCACCACGCCGGCAGCCUUCCAUGUACCUUGUUUCCAGGAGUGUCCCUGGAGUGGUUAGACACGUCCCGUCAGGAUGCAACCCUGCUGUAACAUCAUCCGCUCAGGGCUAUGGCAAUAGUUGCACGAGAACACCAGUGAAAACCAAUAUAAGCACAAGUGGAAUCCCCAAAACGCCUCUUAACAGCCAGCAGAGCUACAACCCCAACUCCAGCCCCAAGGAGAGCUCCCCAUCACCUAAACUCAAACCUAAAGGAGUUCGGCCUAAAAUCAUUACCUACGUUCGAAAGAACCCUCAGUUUAAGCCCCAGGCUGCCGACGGACCGUAUCAGGUAUCCUCUCUACCCUCCAGGCUGUCAACAUACGCGCACGGUCAAAUAUCUACUUCUUUCAAAGACAACGGUAAAGAUCCAUCCAAGCCCGAAGCGGAAAGCAGAGGAUCCCCAGUGCUCAGUGCCUCUAAUCUGCUUUAUGACAAGUACCGCCAGGUCACACAGACAAACCUUUUUCCACCAGGAAUGCUGGGCAGAAGUAUGAAGCCCGCCGGAAAUACACACACAGUCCCCCCUGCACACACACACAGCCACACAGCACCCUCAAAACUGGGCAGCAAAACAGACACCUUCUAUGGGGCUCCAUCGGAGGUGGGAAGAUCUGCCAGUUUUAAAGGAAACACACCUGAGGAUGCGUUGCAAUCGAGGGUGGCAGCUCAGGCCAGAGGAAGCGGCAGCCUCCUGCGCUCUGGCAGAGGUCUGCGUCUGGGCCUGGGAGCUGUCAACAGGGCGACUACGGGCUCAGUCAUGGGCAGAGGACCCGGUCAAUCAGCACUGGUCUUCAGCCAGCCAGCCCAACCUGUCAGCCCGGCGACCAGUCAGAAUACAGGUAAGAAGUUGAUCCAAAUCAUGUUUUAGAGUGAGAACAAUGUUGAUGCUUUUGAGCAACAGUUUGUGUCCGAUUACAUUUCAGAAACCUUAAAUUACUCACACCAAAGAGAUCCAGCUUGUCGUUCUUCACCUUUGCCCCAAUGAGAGGAGCAACGUUUUUGGCCAUGAGAUAAAGGCAGAUUAAUCAAAUACGUUCUUUGAAAUUCCUUUUAGCUGAUCUGAUUGGAGGGUUUUAAGAAAGAGCUGCUAGGAAUGUAAUUUUUCUGCUCCAGAAGGCUGCCAUCUACAAAACAAAAUUGAAUUAAAGGUGCAGGCAGCGAUGGACGGGUCCUCGCUACUACAUGUCGGGGCACUGGCCGUCGGACAAAGCGUCCAAGAGUCAGUCGUCGUUAACCAUAAGGAGCGACACCAGGGAUGCCGCUUUGCAAACUUCAUCUUUAACAUUAUUAGGUCUUUUUUAUGAUUUCAUAGGGAACCAGUGGGUUAAUGGUUGGUAAAAAAAGAAAUCCCUAAUUUGUUUAAUAUUAAAUAUUCAUGAGGGAUUACAAAGAUUAUGAUAUGUAACAAGGGAAGGAGGAGAACCUGUGUUUGCCACAUAUCUUGCCUUCUACAAAGUGAUCUUCAUAGGGAACCAGUGGGUUAAUAGUUGAUGAAAAAAAACAUUCCAAAAAAUAUUAAAAUUAAAUUAAUAUUUAAAAAUAUUCAAAAGAAUGAUCGAUUACAAAGAUUAUGAUAUGUAACAAGGGGAGGAAGAAAACCUGUGUUUGCCACAUAUCUUGCGUUCACAUAUUAUAGUAAUUAUACUGUGAAUAGCAGUCAAGUUACUCUAGCUACUCCAUGCAUGGUAACCUAAUUACCAUGCAUGGUUUAAACUGUCCAUUGUUAUGAUAAUGAGGACUAUCCACUUAUAGGACAAAACGUUUGUGACGGAGCUACUGCAACUUCUGCAUGAGGCUCUCAAAAUCCCACCUUCACAGCAGCGGCGUUGCACGCUUUUCUGAAGUUGCUACGCAGAAAUUGCAACUUACUGAAGUGUCACAUUUAAUAAUUCAAUUUAGCAAUUUAACGCUUUGUGGGGGAAAUCCAUGCAGGUUGCUGCAACUCACCUUGGCUUUCAUUAUAAUUUAUUUAUAGUGCUCAUCCCAGCUGCUCGUUCCAUUGACUUUUCAGAGCCCGAUUUACAUUAUCCAUCUCAAGUAGGGUUGCUCUAACAGUAAAAACAAUGUUUGAUUAUAUUUUCAGGUGUUUUCAGGUUUCACAAAGGUACAGUAUAAGUCAUAUUAAUAAUUCCAUUGCUUUCCUUCUCCUUCUUAGAUUGUUAUGAAUAAUGUGCAUCUUCAUUUAACAGGAGCUUAGGUACGUGCCAUCUAGGCUGAGGGUGUUUUUCAGGCUCACUUCCCUCGGCCGACUCUCAGAGGGGAUGACUCGAGUGGUGGGAGGCAGGAGGAAAAUGAGGACAUUCAUCUUUAAUGAUCCUGACCUUCUCACUCAAGAGCAGCGACCUCUAAUCUGAUAAACAGAACGCUCGGCACACAGGCAGAUAGUGUAGAAAGGAGGAAAGAGGCGAUGAGUGCGAACAAUGCCUCUGAUGAAGAUUGGGGGGGAGACACACUGGAGACUUUUCUCCCUGGCGACUUGACCUAUGUCCACCAACUGAUUUUGUAUUCUCCUUCACAGAGCUCUUCCUCCCUCUAGCAUGUGGAGCGCGCAGCUGCACUAAAUAGUUGAGGAAAUGAGGGCUGCCUACUUUAUCUCUUCAGCCAGCAGGGGAUAAUUCUCCUCUUCUGUCUAGGAUCUAAACCGUGUUCCGAAGGCCGGGGUUUCUAUCCCAGGCCUGAGGAUUUAUCCACUGCCCACUGUGUGUGAAUGUGCGCAGCCUUGGUUGAUCAUGCCGGCACGUUUCAUCUCUUUGGCUGUUGGAAACCGUAGAUUAGCGAGAGCCGCGUUGCUCACUGAGAAUAGCUGCCACUACGAAGCUGCGAUUACUUUUUUAUCCUCCCCUCCUCUCUUUCAUCCCCUGUAUUUUCCCUCACUGUAAAUAUGUUUCCUCCCUUCCUUGUGUUCUACUUUAUUCCAAAUAAACCGUUUAAUAUAUAUUUUUUGAUUGUAAGUCCUCAAUGGUGGAGUAACGGCUUUGUGUGGUUUGGGUAACUGUAGGACAAAUAAGGACAAGUAAAGCCUUUUUGUAACAAGGAAUUGAUGAUCAUACAAUAAACUAUGUGCAUAAGAAAACAGUGUAUAUGUAUUGGAAAUAUCUAUCAUCUGAGUCCUAGAUGUUCUGUUCGUAGCCCAUAACAGUGAUGGCACUAGAGAAGCUGUUGGCCGACAGCCCAUUCCACGGUCACAGCCAACAGCAGCCAUUACCAGGUUGUAUAUUGUUUUCAUAUUAGCUUGCUGCAGCAAUCAGACACGUAACACAGAAAACAUCCUGGUGCCCGCUGAGAGUUUAGUCAACAGGGUGAAUGAUUCACAGGGGAACUACACAUCAAGGCUGCGCUGAACGCCCUGCACUCGGUGUAAGCGGUGAUUAAUGAGUUGAUUCGCGCAAUUUUGCUCCUUGCUUUUGUGGCGCUGUCCGUUCAGCACCGCAGUGCAAUGCAUUGAUACUAUUACUGUCUGGCUGCUGCUUUACAAUCGGUUCAUCCAAGGACACCCCAUAUCAUUUUAACAGCACAUAGUAUUAUUUCUAGUUGUCCCAGUUUUCUCAUUUUCAAAUAAUGGACAACAUGAUCAUUAAUCGUGCUCUCUUUCCUCAUUGUGAACAGAUGACCAGGUCUUCAGCCAACAGGCUCCUCCUCCCGCUGGUCCAGCGAGGGCGCCACCACAGCCCCAGGCCGCGGCCUCCAGGUCUCUGCUGGCCAAAGCGAGCCAGUCCGGCCUGCGACCCCCGGGCUUCAGCUCCAGCCGCCUCCCCGCCGGCCGCCUGGCAGCUUUCGGCUUCGUCAGGAGCUCCAGCGUCUCGUCCGCCUCCUCGGGCCACUCGGGUGACAGCGCACAGAGUGACAACUAUGGGACUGCUCACAGUGAGUCCAAUCAUUACAAAAUCUGUUCGCACAAGUGCUCCCGUUUGUGAGAAUAUGCUGCUAUCUAUUGAGAAUCCUCAAAGGGGCUUUCACAAGAACACCGUUAUGAUCGGCAUGCGGUGCUCCUUGUUUUCCUUCUAUCCUACCACGGUUUGCAUAAACAGCCCCCUCCCACAUUCAUUAUGUUACGGUUUGCUCCAGCCAGCCUUUCUCCACUCUGUAUUUUCAAACAAGCAGCAGGUCAACAGCAGCUGAAGGGCUGCCGUUUAGAAAAGUGCAUUUUCUGAUUCACAUGAGGACACAAUAUGAGGGAUAUUUCCAGUUUUAAAACAUUGCCAGUGCAAGAAACCGUAUCAUUGUUGGCUGGGUAUUAUGAAUAGACAAAGUUUCACUGAGUGUUGUGCAUUUAUUAUUUUAUUUUCUAUAAGAUGAUUCUUGAGCUGUAUGAGUAAAGGUGAUUUAUAUCACAUACUUACUCUAUAAAAGUAGAAAACUUUCCCCCAACUGUGGAAAUUCAUUGGUACAUAUAAUGAACACCUUCCCUAUUUGACAGCUGAACUAUGAAAAAAUAACAAGACACAUGUCAUUCCCCGGUGUUAUCAGUAAUUUAAAGGGCUUGUUAGCGGGUGUGUGCUGCGGCUUGAUUCAGCGUUAACAGUAUGUUAUAAGUAGUGCUCAAUUUCGCAACCGUCAACAGCUGGAGCGCUACAAACAGCUGGGACUUCGAUGCAGCUCGGCUGCCUGGUUGGUUAGUUGGCUGAAUUUGUAUCUGCAUGGGUUUUUAAUGUGACCUACAUAGGGAGUGCUUGCUCUUCCUCUCCCAGUUACAGUUGACGUAAGCGCCUCCAUUCUCACAGGCGUCAGGCCCCCUGUUAUGUCAUAACUCCUCCCUCCUUCCCCCCUAGUGUACAUACUUUUUUUUCCUCCCUCUUUUCUCUCCCUUAUUGGUUGGAAAUGAAUGCAAACUGUGCGGUAAUGCGGGGGUGGCACCCUUUCAGUUACCAUGUAAGAGGAAAAAAAGGACUCCCUUGGGUUUCCAGAACAGUGUUUGUAAAAAAAAGUUUUUGAUAAAAGGUGAGCAAAAACUUAUUUUUCUUUUUAUUCCCUAUAUUUUCAUACACAACCGUGAUUGUCACAAGGUGAACAUUCAUUUCCUCCACCUGGUUUUGCAAUGGAAGUUAAUUUAUAGACAAUUAUUUAUCUAAACAUUGUACUUUUAAAUCUCCUCUUAACAUUUUUUGAAUAAAUAUUAAAAGCUGUGGCACUGUAGCAAUUUAACUGCUUGAAUUUAACGUUAAACUAAUACCCUAUAGCAUCUAAGGUUAAUCUGUGCUGUCACAAUUCUAAAACACCAGCGUCAGUAAUGAACAGUAAUGAAGUGGAAACAGUUUCCAUGACACGUGGGUGUUUGUGUGCCACCAACUGACGCUCGCAGCUAAAUAUUUUGAUUUUUCUAUUUCUGUUUUGGUUUGUUGGAGACAGAUCCAACUCAAGUGACACUAUUGAAUUUAG
ensembl:lncRNA